AAGGUGUCCACAGCCACAAAAAAAAAGAUCCGCACGUCACCCACCUUCCGGCGGCCCAAGACACUGCGACUCCGGAGGCAGCCCAAAUAUCCUUGGAAGAGCGCCCCCAGGAGAAACAAGCUUGACCACUAUGCUAUCAUCAAGUUUCCGCUGACCACUGAGUCUGCCAUGAAGAAGAUAGAAGACAACAACACACUUGUGUUCAUUGUGGAUGUUAAAGCCAACAAGCACCAGAUUAAACAGGCUGUGAAGAAGCUCUAUGACAUUGAUGUGGCCAAGGUCAACACCCUGAUUCGGCCUGAUGGAGAGAAAAAGGCAUAUGUUCGACUAGCUCCUGAUUACGACGCUUUGGAUGUUGCCAACAAAAUUGGGAUCAUCUAA